GCCGUCGUAGCUCAGCUGGUAGAGCGUAUGACUGUUAAUCAUAAGGUCAACGGUUCGAACCCGUUCGACGGCG
rnacentral:tRNA from 2 species